UCGUGGAGUGAUUUGUCUUGGUUAAUUCCGAUAACGAACGAGACCACCGCCUGCUAACUAGUACCGCUGGCUGCGGCCGGCGCGCACUUCUUAGAGGGACGUUCCGCGUUUAGCGGGAGGAAGCUGGUGGCAACAACA
rnacentral:rRNA from 1 species